ensembl:lncRNA
GCAAAAUAAGAUGCAAAGAUAUAAGGAACAAUGGCUAAUCUUGCAUUACCAAACUUACAUUAGCAUCAGGCCCUUCAUUCAUUUUCUUUUUUCUUCCCUCCCAAACCCAAGCAAGCAAGGCUGUAUUGCUCAGAAGCUGUUUUCUCUUUUUAGUUCCAAAAGACAGCAUUUCACCAUGAAUUUAAACAGGAGCAUCUACAACAUGUAUUAUUUACCAUCUCUACUUUUAACAUAUUUAUGCACUUCUACACACCUUGAAAGGCUAGAUGCUUUGGUGAGGACAUAAAUUUGUCCCCUAUAUACUCAGUAGUUUUGAAACCACACACAUAUAACAAUGGUUAGAUCUCCAAGUAUCUUCUGGUGAGAACAUGUUGGUCUCUGACCUCUUUUACCCUUCAUCCCCUUUUCUGUAUCUGUGACACAGGCACCUCUCACCUGGAUGAUACACUUGCACAACUCUUCAGAAGACAACCUUGCUGUGAAUAACACAGAGCAUACGGAAUGUUACAUGAUUCCUGCCCAGGAUUGGAGCCACCUACAUUUAAAAUUGAUCUGCCUACCUCAAUGAACUUAACUUAGAAAAUCUUUCAAAAGUAUAACAGAGAUUUGUGUCCAAGUCUCUUGUGUUCACACGCUAUGGGGUACUUUUGGCAGUCAGAAGAAAACUUGAAGGAACUAUUGUGUGGGUCCUGGAGACCGAACACACGUAAUCAAGCUAAGUACCUUUAGACCUGAGCAAUUUCAGUGGUCUGAGUGUUGUAUAGACUUGUUAAAUGUCUUAGCAUUAAACACCAGCAUUGCAUUUUUAUUAUUUUUUCUUAUUUUAUAUCUUGCCUUUACUACACCAAGAAUUAUAUCCAUUUGAUACUGUCUUAAAUGUCUUGACAUAUAAGAUUCAGACAGUGCUAAAUUGUUUUUGCUUGUUCACAAACAGGAUAUUUUAAAUAGGAUAUCAUGAUUAUUAUGAGAAUAAAAUGAUUCAUGAUAUAUGAAGAAUAAAGUACAUAUCUGUUCA